rnacentral:ncRNA from 1 species
CAAAAUCAUCAGGAGCGAUUUCCAGAUGGAAAUCCACCAACCGGCCCAAUUGGGAACGGUGGUUAGGUCAAAUAAUGACAGAUGUGCCCUUUAGGGAAACUCUGAACCGCCUGA